rnacentral:rRNA from 1 species
UACAGAGGUCUCAAGCGUUGUUCGGAUUCAUUGGGCGUAAAGGGUGCGUAGGCGGCGGAGUAAGUCAGGUGUGAAAUCUCGGGGCUCAACCCCGAAACUGCACUUGAUACUGCUUCGCUAGAGUAUUGGAGAGGAGAUUGGAAUUUACGGUGUAGCAGUGAAAUGCGUAGAUAUCGUAAGGAAGACCAGUGGCGAAGGCGAAUCUCUGGACAAUUACUGACGUGAGGCACGAAGGCCAGGGGGAGCAAAACAGG